rnacentral:antisense_RNA from 2 species
CGGCGCUUGAGGCUUUUUGCCUCAUGACGGUAGAAAGUUGUGCGGCAGAAAGAAGAAAGCCCCGUAGUAAGUUAAUGUUGAUUAACCACCACGAGGCCAUCCGAAUGCCUGAACAACAUCAGGAUAGCCUCUUACCCGCCGCAAGGCAAGGAGGCGUGAACCAUG